rnacentral:rRNA from 1 species
GUUUGAUCCUGGCUCAGGACGAACGCUGGCGGCGUGCCUAAUACAUCCAAGUCGAGCGCGGGAAGCUUGUCUGAUCCCUUCGGGGUGACGCGAGUGGAACGAGCGGCGGACGGGUGAGUAACACGUGGGCAACCUGCCUGUAAGACUGGGAUAACUCCGGGAAACCGGGGCUAAUACCGGAUAAUACAUUGCUUCGCAUGAAGCAAUGUUGAAAGAUGGCUUUGGCUAUCACUUACAGAUGGGCCCGCGGCGCAUUAGCUAGUUGGUAAGGUAAUGGCUUACCAAGGCAACGAUGCGUAGCCGACCUGAGAGGGUGAUCGGCCACACUGGGACUGAGACACGGCCCAGACUCCUACGGGAGGCAGCAGUAGGGAAUCUUCCGCAAUGGACGAAAGUCUGACGGAGCAACGCCGCGUGAACGAAGAAGGUUUUCGGAUCGUAAAGUUCUGUUGUUAGGGAAGAACAAGUACCGUUCAAAUAGGGCGGUACCUUGACGGUACCUAUCGAGGAAGCCCCGGCUAACUACGUGCCAGCAGCCGCGGUAAUACGUAGGGGGCAAGCGUUGUCCGGAAUUAUUGGGCGUAAAGCGCGCGUAGGCGGUUUCUUAAGUCUGAUGUGAAAUCUUGCGGCUCAACCGCAAGCGGCCAUUGGAAACUGAGGAACUUGAGUGCAGAAGAGGAGAGCGGAAUUCCACGUGUAGCGGUGAAAUGCGUAGAUAUGUGGAGGAACACCAGUGGCGAAGGCGGCUCUCUGGUCUGUAACUGACGCUGAGGUGCGAAAGCGUGGGGAGCGAACAGGAUUAGAUACCCUGGGUAGUCCACGCCGUAAACGAUGAGUGCUAGGUGUUAGGGGGUUUCCGCCCCUUAGUGCUGCAGUUAACGCAUUAAGCACUCCGCCUGGGGAGUACGGCCGCAAGGCUGAAACUCAAAAGAAUUGACGGGGGCCCGCACAAGCGGUGGAGCAUGUGGUUUAAUUCGAAGCAACGCGAAGAACCUUACCAGGUCUUGACAUCUUCGGAUGUCCCUAGAGAUAGGGAGUUCCCUUCGGGGACCGAAUGACAGGUGGUGCAUGGUUGUCGUCAGCUCGUGUCGUGAGAUGUUGGGUUAAGUCCCGCAACGAGCGCAACCCUUGAUCUUAGUUGCCAGCAUUUAGUUGGGCACUCUAAGGUGACUGCCGGUGACAAACCGGAGGAAGGUGGGGAUGACGUCAAAUCAUCAUGCCCCUUAUGACCUGGGCUACACACGUGCUACAAUGGAUGGAACAAAGGGCAGCGAAGCCGCGAGGUGUAGCAAAUCCCAUAAAUCCAUUCUCAGUUCGGAUUGCAGGCUGCAACUCGCCUGUAUGAAGCCGGAAUCGCUAGUAAUCGUGGAUCAGCAUGCCACGGUGAAUACGUUCCCGGGCCUUGUACACACCGCCCGUCACACCACGAGAGUUGGCAACACCCGAAGUCGGUGGGGUAACCUUUGGAGCCAGCCGCCGAAGGUGGGGCCAAUGAUUGGGGUGAAGUCGUAACAAGGUAGCCGUAUCGGAAGGUGCGGCUGGAUCACCUCC